rnacentral:rRNA from 14 species
AGUUUGGCUGGGGCGGCACAUCUGUUAAACGAUAACGCAGGUGUCCUAAGGGGGGCUCAUGGAGAACAGAAAUCUCCAGUAGAACAAAAGGGUAAAAGCCCCCUUGAUUUUGAUUUUCAGUGUGAAUACAAACCAUGAAAGUGUGGCCUAUCGAUCCUUUAGUACCUCGGAAUUUGAGGCUAGAGGUGCCAGAAAAGUUACCACAGGGAUAACUGGCUUGUGGCAGUCAAGCGUUCAUAGCGACAUUGCUUUUUGAUUCUUCGAUGUCGGCUCUUCC